UCCACUGCAUGUGCACCUUCUGUCUUUUUUCCUAAUCAGCCCAGCGUGCAUAAAGUAUCAUAGUUCUUUACACACGUGCGGUGGUGAAGUGUGGUGGGUUUGAGUUUCAGAGAACUGUGAUGCCUCGCUGUGUCUUCUGCAGACAAGGAAAGAAGAAAAAGCGCUGGAAAUAAAGUGGAUUGCCCCGCUCAGUGAAUGGAGUUAACCGAUUCUUUUUUUUGAUUUACUAUCAAAAAUGGAAAGCAGUAGCACAGGGACGAGUCUCACCAAAGACAUAGCAAGCAUGUCUUUGAUGGACAGGUAUGAAGAGGAGGACUGUUCUGAUUCAGACGGCAGUGCUGAGCUUGAUGAAGAGGAUGAAGAGGAUGAAGGUGGGCAGUGUCACUCUUCCAUUGAGCUUUGAGUCUCAAUGACGAGAGGAUUGGAACUGCGAGAAAAGUUCUCUUCUGAAGAUGAACCAGGUGGCCAACGGCAGACCGAGAGGAGAGCAAAGCCAAGGCCAAAGACAAAAGAGCAGUCAGUCAGAGUUGCUUCGACGAAUCCGUUCUCAAUUUGUGCAGGGAGAUUCAAACCCAGUUAUCAAAGGUCUCCUGGAUGACCUUUAUCAGCAUGAAGUGGUCAGUACUGAGGAAAAGGAAUUUGUGAUGGAGAACCAGAAGAUCAAAACGGACAUAGCAUGGCUGAUAGUAUGAAGUUUAGGGACAAGCACUUGUGCUCCGACCUUGGUCUGAUCUCUUCUUCUGCUGCUGUGGCUGAGAUGUAACUAUGAAUUUCCUUUUUAAAGUCACUGCCGACUUUGUUUUGACAAGACAUUACAUAUUGUUGAUAUGUUUAGAAUAGGUCCUCCUUCCGGUGCUAGUACAUGUGUACUAAGCUGUACCUCCUAUAUCUAGGUAUAGAGGGGAAUUUUGAAAUAUCAUUUUUAAGUAACUUUUGUAUGGUCUCGGAAAAAUCACGGAAAUGUUUAGUUUCCCAAGAGGCAGCUAAAGUUUUGUUUUUUUAUAUAUUAUUUUAAAUGUUCAGGCGGAUGCUAUACGCAGCCAGAUUUGCAGAUCGGCUGCGGUACAUGUUGGACAAAACUUGACAAGAUCCACAAAUGCAUACAGACGAGUUCACAUGUGGUAAUCUGAUGUGAAAGAGGGUGUGGACUUUAAGUUACAAAACACAAGUCAACUUUAUGGAUUUCUGCAUUGUGAUCUGUUCUGAAAGUUUGUUUAGAUAUCCUUUUUACAAAGGAAAAGUAAACAAUAUUUGUGAUUUUUGGUAACGAAAUGUGAAUUGUCUUCUAUUGGUAACAAGUUACUCACUUCCUUUUACAUGCAUGGUGCCACCUGCAGGUGUAUGCUAUGACCGCAUCCAGAUUGGUACAUGGGACAAAAUUUGAUCUUGAUUAGAAAUCUAAAGUGAAAAAUUACUAUGGACACUGCCAUCAGUGUGUGUAAAAUUGGUUGCAAGUAGCUAUGGAUGAAAGCGUCCGCUAAAUGCAAAUGUUAUUUCCUCACUUCAGGGUAAGCUGCAGUAAUAAAUAAACCCGGCACUGUU